UGGGACCAGGUUAAAACGUUAGUGGUGCAUAGGACAAUUAUUCUCUGGACGUACAUGGGUUUUAAUAAGGGCAGGUGGCACAUGGUAGCCAUACUCCCCUUAUCUUAAUGUUUUCUUGAACAUGCUCUUAGGCUGUUUGUCAUACAGUUAACUGGAGUCCUGUGUGUACUGUGCGGUGUGUACACAGCAUCUUGACUUUUCAUUAUUGAUGUGAUUGAUGUCACUUGCUUUGAUGCCAGAGUUUUUAUUUGUAAAGGUAAACUGUUAUUGGAGUAGAGUGAAGUUUCCCCAAGACGCUGAUCUUGGGUCAGUACUUAAUUUCCCCCACUAAAGGUUAAAGUUAGGAUUGGGGGAGGGGAAGCUGAUCCUAGAUCUGUACCUAGGGGAAACUUCACCCCGGAGCACUAUUAUCAGUGUCUGACGGGGCGUUUAGAUGUAGAUUGUACAUAUCAGAAGUUAAACAAGGCCUUGUGCUCUGAGCUCAUGUUAUACGUUCACCAUGCUGACCUUACCUGUGUGACAAGAACACAGACUGUUUAUAUGUAGGACUGUUUAACAUUUUACAUGAUGGAGUGUAUGUUUUACAUGAUGGAGUGUAUGUUUUACAUGAUGGAGUGUAUGUUUUACAUGAUGGAGUGUAUGUUUUACAUGAUGGAGUGUAUGUUUUACAUGAUGGAGUGUAUGUUUUACAUGAUGGAGUGUAUGUUUUACAUGAUGGAGUGUAUGUUUUACAUGAUGGAGUGUAUGUUUUACAUGAUGGAGUGUAUGUUUUACAUGAUGGAGUGUAUGUUUUACAUGAUGGAGUGUAUGUUUUACAUGUUUAAAUAUACAUCUGUCUGUUUGUCAUGUUUCUGUAGAGGUCCUGGCAAGAGGAGAUAUCUUGGCCAUAGCCUUCGGAGGUCUCUUUGCCGUCACAUUGCUGCUAUUCACGCUCUACGCAUACCAACAGCGUAAAAGAUACUCGAGUAUCAAAAAGGACUCCAGGCAGAACGUAAUCUACAAACCAGCAACUAAAGAAGAGGCAUAGAUGUCACUGGAAAGGAGUCCUAUUCAGAUUCCAUAUUCAAACUAUUUUCAAUAGGAAUUAAAGAGAUUAUCCAGUACUUUUGUAGACUUUUUAGCCUAGAACUAGGUACUUUUGUAGACUUUUUAGCCAGUAGUUCUGAAAGUAGCUCUCACAAGCCAGAAGUGGUCCCUGGAAAUUGCAUACUAUAUCAGAUUGUGUGCAGAUACUGUAUGAGCAGCACGUUAUCGCUCUCUCGCUCGCUCUACUGUGGUACAUGAUGUGCCUCUUGCUAGCUGUCACUAUUAUGAAGAGGGGUUGAAGCUCAUUAGUUGAAAUCAAACUGGAAAAUGGAGGGGAAAUGGACAAGUACAGCUUCCCGAAAAACAGUCGCUUUCAAGCUAGUGAUUUCAUGGCUAAUUACAGUAAGACAGUAAUUCUGAUAAUAGAUUUAUUCAUGUAUGAACUGCACAUUGACACAUCCAGCCCAAAGUGGGAUGUUUAAAAACUACUUAGUCGUUGCCAAUGUUUCGGAGGUGGUGUCUUUAAAAGAGUUAUGAUCGAGAAUUCAUAUUGCUCAAACCAAGUUUGACAUUUGCUCAGAAUGAUUGUUUUCGCCUUUUGUUACUAAUGCAAAGUGGUUUAAGUAUGUAAUACGUGUCUGUGGAGGCUGCUGGGUGGAGGACGGCUCAUAAUAAUACCUGGAAUGGGGCGAAUGGAAUGGCAUCAAACACAUGGAAACCGUGGAAACCAUGUGUUUGAUGUUGUUGAUCACUUUCCACCUAAUUCUGCUCCAGCCCUUACUACGUGCCUGUCCUCCCCAAUUAAGGUGCCACCAACCUCCUGUGAUGUGUGUAUAUGGUAUGUGUAGAAGAACAACUGUAGUUACCACCUGAGUAAGAAUGUAUACAAUGUGUUAUAUUUAAUUGUGGUGGCAAAAUUAUAAGAUAUUCAUGAACUUCAAUACAAUUGACUUACGGUCGAAGAAAGUCAAAUCACUUUUUCCCAGGGUGUUCACUUCGUUACAAGUACUAGAGCGGCAGAUGAAAGUGUUAUGCUGUAUCGUGUGUGUUGGAUAUCAUGCAGGAAGUGUUUUAUAUGAGUUGUUGUAUUGUUAUUACUAUAUAUCCUCUAAUGUAUGGACACUUGUCACUAAAACCGUUAAGUUGUUUUGUAGUUUACCUCUCAACCUCUCCACAAUGGUGUAUACUGAUGUGCAAUUGGACCUUGAAAUGUAAAAUAAAUGUGUUAUAUUCUUAUAAA